UCAGACGAUGCGUCAUGCAUAUCAAUAAGCGGAGGAAAAGAGGGCUAUUACCUACGCUUAGGAUGUUGACGCGCGUGUGUGCGUGAGUCUAUACAUGACUCUGCGCAUAUCAAUAAGCGGAGGAAAAGAAACUAACAUAGGAUUCCCUCAGUAACGGCGAGUGAAGCGGGAAGAGCUCAAAUUUGAAAUCUUCAAGGUUUGACCUUGACGAAUUGUAGUUUAAAGAAGUGUUUUCUGUUAGAGGAGUUUGGCUAAAAGUUCUUUGGAAUAGGACAUCAUAGAGGGUGAGAAUCCCGUAUUUGACCAUUCUUUCUAGCUUUGUGAUACACUUUCAAAGAGUCGGAUUGUUUGGGAAUGCAGUCCAAAAUGGGUGGUAAAUUUCAUCUAAAGCUAAAUAUUGGCGAGAGACCGAUAGCGAACAAGUACCGUGAGGGAGAGAUGAAAAGAACUUUGAAAAGAGAGUUAAACAGUACGUGAAAUUGUCAAAAGGGAAGCGUUUGACACCAGUGUUGUUUUCUCGAAAAUCAAUUAAAAAGAGUUGGAUUUUGUGUUGUAUUGACCUUAACAGCUUGCUUCACUCUUUUCCUGCUUUUUUUAAUGCACUUUUCGUUUAACAAGUCAACAUCAGUUUCUUUUGUUGUAAAAGGGUCAUUGGAAGGUGGCUUUCUUUCGGAGAAAGUGUUUAUAGCCUUUGCUCUCUGCAAUCGGAGAGAUUGAGGUCUGCAGCGUAGAUCCUUCGGGGUUAGAUACAUUUGUGCUAAGUUAUAGCCUUUUCAUAGACAACUUGUUGACUAUGAUUCAGUCAUGUAACUUACUCGCUUAUGCUAUUUUACCUACGCUUAGGAUGUUGAUAUGCAUGACUGAUAU
rnacentral:rRNA from 1 species